UGGGGAAUUUUGGACAAUGGGCGAAAGCCUGAUCCAGCAAUGCCGCGUGUGUGAAGAAGGCCUUCGGGUUGUAAAGCACUUUUGUCCGGAAAGAAAUGGCUCUGGUUAAUACCUGGGGUCGAUGACGGUACCGGAAGAAUAAGGACCGGCUAACUACGUGCCAGCAGCCGCGGUAAUACGUAGGGUCCAAGCGUUAAUCGGAAUUACUGGGCGUAAAGCGUGCGCAGGCGGUUGUGCAAGACCGAUGUGAAAUCCCCGAGCUUAACUUGGGAAUUGCAUUGGUGACUGCACGGCUAGAGUGUGUCAGAGGGGGGUAGAAUUCCACGUGUAGCAGUGAAAUGCGUAGAGAUGUGGAAGAAUACCGAUGGCGAAGGCAGCCCCCUGGGAUAACACUGACGCUCAUGCACGAAAGCGUGGGGAGCAAACAGG
rnacentral:rRNA from 1 species